UAUUUUAGGUAGAACAUUAGGAUAUGAAUUAAAACAUGUGAAACCCGUUUGAAUUUCAAUAUACAAAGAAUCUAUUCACGAUCUUAGUCAAUUCUGAUUCCGAUUCCGAUUCCGUCAUUUCUUCGCUUUAGUUUGAAUACACAGGUUCUAACCUUAUGAGAACUCGAAAUGCAGAUUCGUCUUUUAAAUCCCUAACCCCUAAGAAGACACCGCCAGCAAAAGAAUCCGCCGGAGAAUCUUCCGUCGCAAACGCACGUCUCCAUCCAAAACCAGAAGCGCCAAGAAGAUGGAAGCAUCGUCCGCAACCAAUCCUAUAUCCGAUUCCAAUUUAGAUCAAUCUGAGCAGCAAAAAUCAUUAUCUAGUGCUACUACCGCUGCGAAAUCUGCAAAGAGGAAAACACUAGGUAAACUGGGGAGAACAGUGGUUGUUACUAAUCCAAAUUUGGAAGAGCAUUUGGUGGCUGAAGCUGAUGAAGCAGCAUAGAAAGUGGCUGAAGCUGGUGAAUCUAGUGAAACUUCAUGGAUGUUGCAUUGAAGGGGAUCAAUUAAUAUUGGUGUAUGAGUACAUGGAAAAUAAUAGCUUGGCCCAUGCUUUAUUCAUAGAGUUUUUACUCAUAAGUACAAUGGUCAUUAUGAGAAAUUUCUAUGAAAUCUGAGUAUGACUUCUUUUUGCACAUUCUAUAGGUUCAGAAAAUCGGCUUAAACUUGAUUGGCCAUCAAGGCUUAGGAUCUGCAUUUGCAUAGCAAAAGGUCUUGCAUUUCUUCACGAAGAAUCAAGACUCAAGGUUGUUCAUUGAGAUAUCAAAGCUACUAAUGUGUUUACACUUUUGGAGUUGUAGUCUUGGAAACUAUUAGUGGAAAGAGUAAUAACAGUGAGCAUGUCAUUGACAAAACAUGUAAAGUCAUAAGUUAUUCUGUUUACCCUGUCAAUAUUCCAAAUUCUAUUAUCUCACGCAGAAUUGCAGGAGUGAAAUGGGUAAUCAGAGCCGACAUGGACAGGAAGAUCAAAUUUUGCUGCAUCUAGUCUAAUGCUGCUAAGCCAUAUUUGAGAGCAUCCGGUUUUGAACAAGAGGAUGUCUUGCACCACCUUUUAUUUAAAGAACUUGAAUGUAUUCUCUUAGGGAUCUUCAGGUGGAUAUGACACCCUGGAAGAACUAUUGGAAGUGAUCACUUGGGCUCAACUAGGAAUCCAUGAUAAACCAGUGGGUUUGUUGAACGUAGAUGUUUACUAUAACUCUUUGCUGUCAUUUUGGAUUGGAUUCUUCCAGGUUCAUUCCCUAUUAAAGGACCUGGUUCACAAAGCUGUUAGCGAGACUCUGGUUUGUUCCCGGGACCUCUCAUUUAAUGUUCCUGUUGUAUUUCUUGCUGUUAUAUCUGUGCUCAGUUAAUUGUAUAACUUGUGUGCUCUCAUUUUUUCGGAGCAUUUUAGUGACAAGGUUCAUUUUGCAACAUCAUUUUAAUGACUUCAGUUUUAGAAAUCGAAAAUGUUCAGAGGAGAGGUUUUUGAGGUGUUGUUUGGUUGAGUGUUCUAAUUUCUAACUAUCCCUCUGUAUUUGCUUUGAGAAUUCUAAUGUAGGUUAUCUUUUUAUAUAAUGAUAUGGGCACUGAGAAUGCUAAUGUGCAUAAAUUUAGUUAACAUUCAUUUGAAUUCAUAGGAAAUUGCAGAUUUCGAGAAUUGGAUGAAAAUCAUGGAAUAUGAUUGUAAAAGUAUCUGUAGAAGAUUGUAUUUUAGACAUUGAUUCAAAAAAUUGCAGAACUAGGGACUCUCUGUUGAUUUCUCUACUAUUUGUGUUAACCUUGACAAAUCCAGAAUGUCAGCUGAUAACCUGUCAUAGCAGAGUCAUUCAAAUGAGAUUACAAGCCAUAGAGAGUUGGCAAUUGCAAGCAGCGGUAGCGAGUUCUGAUUUUUCUAAUCCAUCUAUACAUUUGAAACAUGAAUAGGAUUCAAAUGCCUGCUCAAGGUUACCCAACUGGAAGCAUGAUGAAGUGGUAAAUGCCGAGGCAGAAGAGUGGGUUGGUGCAAUCCUCACAAUUUUCUUCUGGUAAUUCCGGUGGACAAUCACUGCAAGGAAUGCAACAAGCCAUUGGGAUGAUGGGGUCGUCCAAUCUAGCCUCACUGAGGGCUAAUGGAGGUCUUUAUGCCCAGCAGCAGCAGCUUCGAUUGACUCCUAGCCAAAUCAGGCAGAAACUCAGCUACUUGAGUCCUUUCCUCAAAUCCAUCACAUUAACAACUCCAACAACAACAACUAGCCUGUACGAGCUGGAUCCAUCCAUGAUUGAACAUGACAUUCAACUACGCCAACAAUUUAUAGCCACACUCAAGUCCCGAUUUUUCAAUCUCUUCUUUUCAAGGAAAUGAAGGUUCAAGGGGUAAUAGAGGAUAGGUUGGUGCUUUUGAAGGGUGUUAGUGGUGCAUUUAGGCCUGGUGUUCUCACAGCAUUGAUGGGAGUUAGUGGAGCUGGAAAAACUACUUUAAUGGAUGUUUUGGCCGGUAGGAAAACCGGUGGUUACAUCGACGGGAGCAUAAAAAUUUCUGGAUACCCUAAAAGAUAAGAAACGUUUGCUCGAAUCUCUGGUUAUUGCGAGCAGAAUGAUAUCCAUUCUCCUCAUGUUACAGUCCACGAGUCAUUGCUCUACUUGGCUUGGCUUCGUUUACCAUCAAAAGUGACUUAUAAUACAAGGAAGAUGUUCAUUGAGGAAGUAAUGGAACUAGUGGAGCUGAAUCCAUUGAGAAACUCUUUGGUUGGUUUGCCUGGCGUAAACGGUGUUUCAACCUAACAAUGCAAUAGGCUAACUAUUGCAGUUGAAUUAGUGGCCAAUCCGUCGAUAAUUUUCAUGGACAAGCCUACAUCUGGAUUAGAUGCUAGAGCUGCUGCAAUUGUUAUGCGAACCGUUAGGAACACAGUUGACACAGGAAGAACUGUUGUUUGCACCAUUCAUCAACCAAGUAUCGACAUAUUCGAAGCUUUCGAUGAGUAUAUCAGUGGUUUAUGAAGGCGAGAGGAGCAGAAUACUGUCAUCCAUAAAAUAGUUAAACGUGUUUGUCUAUUAGCACGUAGUUCAAAUGCAUGUCUUUAGAUUGACACUUCGGACAUGGGACUGUGUUACUGGUCAAUGUACUAAUUUGACGAAUCUUGGUGCUAAAGCUACCUCUUUGAUCAGUGAGGGCCCGUGGAUUUUUGUUGGUCUGCCUAACAUUGUCAAGACUUUGCUUGAGAAGAUGAAGUCGGUGUAUACGAAUGUAGAAGGUCUUCCUCCGGAUCGAAUUGUGGAAAACAAUUGCUUCUCCAGGGCGUGGUAUUUUGGCCAUGGAUGAAUCCAAUGCUACAUGUGGAAAGCGGUUGGAUUCAAUUGGACUAGAGAACACCGAAGCUAACCGUCAAGUAUGGCGUAAAAUUAUAUAUGAAGAAAGCGGUUGGUUAAAAUAUAAUUUUUAUGUGUAUGAUUUUA